rnacentral:rRNA from 1 species
GGCUUUGGUGUUUCUAGUGUACUCAAUGGAACCACGCUGAACCAUCUCGAACUCAGUAGUGAAACGUUAUAAACCGACGAAAAUACUUAAAGGGGAACUUUUAGGAAAAAUAGUUCAAUGCCAAAGUU